CCUGGUCCACAUGGAGACUGGACUGGGGUUUAGAGGUCAUUAUAUCACAUCCAGCAGAGGCCUUUGUCAGGCCUGGCUUGCCCAGUUGUCACCAGCAGCCCUAGGCUGUGGCCCCUCAGUACCAUCCCAGCCUCCACCUAGGCAAGCUCGCGGACAACUGCAACACGCUCCAAGAUCACCACAGGCUUAGGAUUCCAUAGGCUGGGAUAUAGGUCAGCGGGAGAACCCUGCCAAGCAUGGACGGCUGAGCUGGAAUUGUGGGAUCCCAAAAUGUUUGCCAACGGACAAACUCAAACUGAGUCCUGUGCUGGUUACUUAACUGUCAAUGUGACAGACUCUAGACUCACCCAGGACAUAGGCUGGAUGGAUAUAAAACUCUCAGCACCAUGUCUGCUUGCGCGAGACCCCAUGACAAUAACGUGCUAAACUUCUGAAACUGUAAGCAAGUCCCAGGUCCAUAACCAUGGCUUUUGAACACAGCAAGAGAGUGAAUACAGACUGCUAAAGGCACAGCGGAAGGACGUGUGGCCCUGACAUAAGAUGUGCUAUGAUCUCAAAGUGUUCGGAGGUAGCUGGUCCAACUUCUCAUCUUACCGUGUGCAACACUUACUCUUUAAGGCUGGAGAGGAGUCACUGCUGAAAAGUCACUGCGUUUUCAUUAGAAAAAAAGAUAAAGGACCAAGUAGCUUUGUCCCCAUUAUUUCCCAGGUCCUGUUGUCAGAGUAAACACAGGUGCAGAGCCCAGAGCUUCUGAGACCACACUUCUGGAAGCAAGGUGGAGCCGGGAGAACAAUUUUCCCAAAUGUGAACCAAGUAGACUAUUUGAGGAAUGGAUAAUUUAAAAUCGUUUAUAAGACGGCUCGCCACUCUUCCUACUGGGUUUCAAAAUGUGCUGAACUGGUGAGUAGC
rnacentral:lncRNA from 1 species